GCUUGGUUUUUACAGAAGAUCAGGACACACACUUACAUUUUUGAGGGGCCCAGACAGGACUAUAAAACCUUGGUGAAAUGUCUUAAGGAAAAAAGCAUCUUAGACAACACAAACAAAGCACACCUUGGCCUGUCAUCAUGUGUUCUCUGCUGGCCUGUCAGGUUUCUAUGGAAGAACUCAGGCAUUUUUGGGGUUUAGUUUGCAAUGAUCCUGAACUGGAUGCAGAGCACCAGAUUUGUGUGUACUCACAAAGCCUGGAGGUAUUGCAGUGCUGAGGAGGAGCAGACCAUCAUAGAAGAGCCGGAUGGAUUCAUACAUGGGCAACAGAAAUCAGAAUGAAAAUCCACCUGCAGUCAACUUACAGCUGAUGGUUAGCUGGUUUGAGGAAGCAGCUCCUGGGGACAUCCUUGAAAAGUCAUCUGAAGAUGGUUUUAGUGAUGUUCUUAUCUACAGAUGUGGAAAAGCUGAUGCUGCAGCCUGACAUGGAGAAGUCUGAUGACUCACUCACCUUCUUGAAAUUCUUGGUUACUUGGAAAAUGCAGCUGCCAAGAGAACAAA